UACGUAGGUGGCAAGCGUUGUCCGGAUUUACUGGGCGUAAAGAGCGCGCAGGCGGUCGUUCAAGUCGCGUGUGAAAGCCCCCGGCUCAACUGGGGAGGGUCACGCGAUACUGAUCGACUCGAAGGCAGGAGAGGGAAGUGGAAUUCCCGGUGUAGUGGUGAAAUGCGUAGAUAUCGGGAGGAACACCAGUGGCGAAGGCGACUUCCUGGCCUGUUCUUGACGCUGAUGUGCGAAAGCGUGGGGAGCAAACAGG
rnacentral:rRNA from 1 species